UACGGAGGGUGCAAGCGUUGUCCGGAUUUAUUGGGCUUAAAGGGUGCGUAGGCGGCUCUUUAAGUCAGUGGUGAAAGCCGACGGCUUAACUGUCGAAAUGCCAUUGAUACUGGGGAGCUUGAGUACAGUAGAGGUAGGCGGAAUUAAUGGUGUAGCGGUGAAAUGCAUAGAUACCAUUAAGAACACCGAUUGCGAAGGCAGCUUACUAUAGUGUAACUGACGCUGAGGCACGAAAGUGUGGGGAUCAAACAGG
rnacentral:rRNA from 1 species